rnacentral:tRNA from 1 species
UGUGGCUCAAUGGUAGAGUGCUUGCUUAGCAUGCAUGAAGCCCUGGGUUCAAUUCCUCAGCA